rnacentral:rRNA from 1 species
GUAGGUGGCAAGCGUUGUCCGGAAUUAUUGGGCGUAAAGCGCGCGCAGGCGGUCCUUUAAGUCUGAUGUGAAAGCCCGCGGCUCAACCGUGGAGGGUCAUUGGAAACUGGGGGACUUGAGUACAGAAGAGGAAAGCGGAAUUCCAAGUGUAGCGGUGAAAUGCGUAGAGAUUUGGAGGAACACCAGUGGCGAAGGCGGCUUUCCGGUCUGUAACUGACGCUGAGGCGCGAAAGCGUGGGGAGCAAACAGGAUUAGAUACCCUGGUAGUCCACGCCGUAAACGAUGAGUGCUAAGUGUUAGGGGGUUUCCCGCCCCCCUUAGUGCUGCAGCUAACGCAUUAAGCACUCCGCCUGGGGAGUACGGCCGCAAGGCUG